rnacentral:rRNA from 1 species
AGUGAACGCUGGCGGUAGGCCUAACACAUGCAAGUCGAACGGCAGCACAGUAAGAGCUUGCUCUUACGGGUGGCGAGUGGCGGACGGGUGAGGAAUACAUCGGAAUCUACUUUUUCGUGGGGGAUAACGUAGGGAAACUUACGCUAAUACCGCAUACGACCUACGGGUGAAAGCAGGGGAGCUUCGGACCUUGCGCGAUUGAGUGAGCCGAUGUCGGAUUAGCUAGUUGGCGGGGUAAAGGCUCACCAAGGCGACGAUCCGUAGCUGGUCUGAGAGGAUGAUCAGCCACACUGGAACUGAGACACGGUCCAGACUCCUACGGGAGGCAGCAGUGGGGAAUAUUGGACAAUGGGCGCAAGCCUGAUCCAGCCAUACCGCGUGGGUGAAGAAGGCCUUCGGGUUGUAAAGCCCUUUUGUUGGGAAAGAAAAGCAGCAGGUUAAUACCCCGCUGUUCUGACGGUACCCAAAGAAUAAGCACCGGCUAACUUCGUG